UUCUCUCUCUCUCUCUCUCUCUCUCUCUCUCUCUCACACACACAAAUUCAUUAUGCAACCUCGACAAUGGAUUAGCGUCACCACGAUCUGUGCAGCUCUCAUCCAAGCAUGUUUAACAGCAAACUCGCUCCCAGAGGCUGAUAAAAAUACCAGUUUGCCACGUCAACCACAGACCAAUUUCCAACAAUAUGCAGGAUAUAUAACUGUGGAUGAAAAGCAACAGAGAUCGCUUUUCUACUACUUUGUUGAAGCAGAAACUGAUCCUGCUUCAAAGCCUCUUGUUCUUUGGUUUAAUGGAGGGCCUGGUUGUUCAUCUGUGGAAUUGGAGGUUUCGGAGAGCAUGGACCUUUUAAGCCAAGUGGAGACAUUCUGCUCAAGAAUGAUUUUAGUUGGAACAAAGAAGCAAAUAUGCUAUAUUUGGAGUCACCAGCAGGAGUUGGCUUCUCCUACUCAGCUAACGAAUCAUUCUAUGAUUUCGUGAACAACGAAAUAACAGCAUGAGAUAAUCUCAUGUUCCUUCAGCGCUGGUUCGACAAAUUCCCAGACUACAAAAACAGGGAUUUUUUUUUAUCAUCGGAGAGAGUUAUGGAGGCCACUAUGUUCCACAGCUUGCACUACUCAUUGUCCAAUCAAAACUGAAGUUCAAUCUGAAAGCAAUAGCAAUAGGCAAUCCGCUUUUGGACAUCAACACUGAUCUCAACUCAAAAGCGGAGUACUUGUGGUUGCAUGGGUUAAUAUCCAAUGCGACCUUUGAAAUUUCCACUUCAGUCUGCAACUAUUCUCAAAUUUAUAGACAGAGCGUAAUUCAUAAUGCUCCGCUUAGCCCUGAUUGUACUGCAGUAAAUAACCAAGUUCAUACAGAAGUCAGUAAAUUUAUCAACAUACGAUAUUUGCCUACUUGUUCCUUGAGGAUACGAUACUUGGACUUCCAAGAUUAUUACUACGUGUGACUACUUGCACUUGAGUAGACGCAACAGUCAUGAAGCUCCAAUAACACAGCCAGAGAGAUCACUGCUUCUGUUUAGUUCAUUUGUGGGAGGAAAUCCAUUGCCAGAAGCACUCUCUCACUGAAGGUCUCGUAUCGUUCAUCAUCUGGAUAUCGAUUUAUUCACCAGCUUGUCAUGUCAAACAAGCUUCAUCAGAUCAGUAUUUAUGGAAUAAAAGUGAACAAGUUGUAACAAAACCAGUUUAUUAAGAAUAAUAAGAGCAACGAGCGCUUUUUCUCUUU